AUUCCUUGAUGAGGACAGGCGGCCACGUACUCCUGCAGUCGUUCCCACGCCUCGGGAAUAGACUUGUCUCUCGUCUGCUGGAAACUUGAAAUUUUGCCGCGUAGGGC
rnacentral:snoRNA from 1 species